UGUCUGCGAGGGCGGUGCAAAAUCCAGGACUGGAUUUUCCUCCCAAAUCCUGGGCUGGAUUUCCUGAGACUUGGACUCGCCUCCUGUAACAACCUAGCCCCCUCCUCUCGCUCACCAAGGUUAGGGAGCGCGUCUGUGGGGUGUGGCAUUUAGAGACAAGGAGUGAAAAUUGAUCUGUUGGGUGGCAAGACCCCUGCAAACUGGGGUGGCUGCCCAUUCUGGGGAAGCUCCAAGUGGGUGAGGAGCUCUAAAAUUUCUUUCCCAGGAUCCCUGGUCUCCCCCAGGUCCUGAAGGUUCCCUUCUUCAUGGUUUAGCUCCCUCUUCCAUCCUCACCUCUCCAUUAAUAAUUGGAUGGGGUAAGACUUGAGCCCAACUGUCCCAAAAUGAACUUGCUGGAGAACACAAGGUCACUGCUCCUUAGUGGGUCCUGGGAAUGAACACAUUAUCCAGUCCCAGAACCUCCUGCCCCAGACUGCUUCCUGCUCUGGACUCCCGAGACAGGGACCAAGUCUACCAAGGGUCUCUCUCACAGCCCGUCUUCCCCAUGCUCACCCGCUUCUCUAUUGCCAAGGAGUGAGGCCUGGAUGCUGUCCCGAAGUUCGGUGUCACCCACUCUCUCUGCCAGUUUCCUGAGGCGGCUUAGAGCCUGCUUGGCCACCGC